CAGGAAGGAGAGGAUUGUUUCACUCUUCCCCCCCCCCCAAAGAAAAGAGUAGGGCUCCUCUUCUUAAAUCGUUCACUUGAGUGGGUGGAUGAGGUGAAAGGGGGUGUGAUGGGUAUCCCUUGGCACUUGUAAGACUAAGCACCUUAAACUGAACUAAUGCACUUUAUUAUUAAGUUUGAAUAUUUUUUUUAUGAAUACAGAAUCUGUGUGGUGUGUGUGUGUGUGUGUAUUGAAUCUACACGCAAUGCCGUAUGUAUACACGUGAAAAUCUGAACUGGAAGGGUGAGGUGAAUGGUUGGUGGGAUAGGCUCACUGGGAGGGGGAACUCAAAGGUAGAGGGGACCUUUAUUUUGAAACCUUAUCAGAAAAACCAAUCUUUUCUUUAAAGACAAACACUGUUGUUUUUUUUGUUGUUUUUUAAGAUAAUACAUUUAUAUAAAAAGUAAAGCUAUUACAAAAAAAUGGAUACAAAGAAAACUUGAAGAUUUGCACUUGUGUUAAAAAAGAAAGAUAAAAUAAAAAAACAAAUGAGGUUAGGUAUAGAGAUUAAUAUUUUGUGUGUGUGUGUGUGAGGGCUGCUGUGUAUCAGAAACAUACUAGUCUGCACAAUGUAUAUAUUUUUUCCAUUGCUUACCAAGAUGUACGUCAUUUGGUUCAAAUUAGAUACAUUUUUUAUUUUUCUUUCAUGAGUAGAAUGUCUGUCCUCUUGUACAUGGGGACCUUCUUUGAAUACUUGUGUGUGAGACCGAGAGUGAGAGGGCAAUCCCACAACACAUCCUUCCUCUCACCAGCUCGUCAUCCCCAGAUAGACGUAGUGGAAACACAUACAUUUGUAGAGGAGGAUUAUGGCUUUAUGUUGUUGACCACCACUUGUUUAUUUUUUUCUGUGUGAUUUUGGAGUAUGGGUUAUACCCCUCCCCUGCGGUCUUCUCUCAGCCACGGUCUCUGAGCCUCUGUGAGGUUUCAAACAGACAGUGGUAAGGAUCUUUAGUGUGUGUGUGUACGCCUGUGUCUUUACUAAUCAUAGGAAAGAAGUGAUCCCUACGUGUGUGUGUGUGUGUGUGUGUGUGUGUGUGUGUGUGUGUGUGUGUGUGUGUGUGUGUGUGUGUGUGUGUGUGUGUGUGUGUGUGUGCAUGCACAUUUUUGCCUUAGAACUCUGAAAGGGUGAAUGGGAGGGAAUAUUCAAUGACCAUUGAGACAUGAACUACUUUUGAGUGUACUGUGAUGUUAAGUUAAAGGAGAAUUAAACUAUUUUUAGGGACCUAAUCUUUAUUUUUCAUGUAAAAUGGCAUGUUAUUAGAAAGGGUCCAGACGACAUAUUCUUUUGGCAAUUUCAUUUGGUUUUGAGAAACUUACCCAGAAGCGAUCGACUUCCUGGGCCUCAUUCUGGAGUUCCGGGACAUCCCAAAACAUGAAAAACGUGAGCGCUUUUCUGUUUGUAAAAGGAUGUUUUUGGAGCCUUUUCAUGUUUUUUGGAUGCCCCGGAACUCCAGGCUUGAGAAGUCGAUCCCUGCCGGGGUACAUUUUUCAAAACCAAGUGAAAUUGCAAAAAGAAGGGUCUGUAAACCUUGUAUAACAUUCCAUUUACAUCCAAAAUAAAGAUGAGGUUCUUAAUGAAAUUCUCUUAAGCACUCUGCACAGUCAAUGUGCAUGUCAGUCAUGUAUCCUAAUAGUUGUAGUAUAGCCUGGGGAUGAUGACUCUUCUUCUUUGUAAGGUUAGUCCGGUUUAGUUUUCCUGGGACGUGAUCACGUUGCCUUGUCGGCUUUCUUUAACUUGCGUGUGAAAGGUGUUGAGUUUCAGAUUCUGCUCAAAACGAUUGGCAUCAAACUGUCUGUGUACAGGACGGUGCACAACAUGUUAGCAUAUUCGUGUUACUUAUUGUUGUUGCUAUUGAUAAUGAUGGUGGUGACUUUUUUUCUGAAUAUAAAUGAACAUUUAUAUAUGAAUAUAUACAAAGAAAAAAAAAAGAUUUUGACUAAGAUUAUGAUAAGCACUUGGGGCUGCUUUUUUAUUUUUUUUCUUAAUUUGUUUUUGUUUCAUUACCGCCAUGUGAAGUGCGUUUUGUUUUUUCUUUCUUAAGAAAACUUUGAAUGUAUUCCCCUCCUCCCCCCCAAAAAAGACAAAAUGUGAUGAUACCGGAUAUAAUUUCAACAACAACAAAAAAACUCAGAUUGAAGAGGUCACCUUUUCUUUUUUACUCCGAGGAAGAACUCGGGAUGGCUACAGUUGAUCCCACUGCCUCUGCAAUCCUGUUCUUACAAAAACAAUAUUACUAUGAGAAAUAAAAUAGACUAUUUUCUAUUCCUUACUGGAUUUUUGGUUGUUUACAAAACACAGAUUUCUGUGGGUGCAGUUUUUUUGUGUAGGGGGUGGGGUUUUGCGAGUGUGCUUCUGCAAUAUGGACGUUCAUUGGCGUACAUUGCUUUUGGCGGGAGGAGGAGUGACAUCACAAUGUGACGGACAAGAUCCUUGCCCUUUGACCCUUUAGUGGGCAUGGCUCUUUGGAAUUGACUGAUCCUCAAGGUGCGCAGGAGAAAGAAUUCAACAACAAAGUUAGUCUGUUUUUUUUUGGUUUUGGGGGAGUUCAUUAUUAGUGUGUCUUCCGGUUUCAUUUAGUUACUUUUUUGUUGUUGAACUGUCUAUCUUAACUAGACAAGUACUGAAAGAAGUAUAAAGCUUAAACAAAAAGCAGGGCACAGCAGAGGUGUUUUUGGUACUUCGACCACAAAUAGAGGAAACAACAAUAUCAUCGCUUUAAUAGGAGAGAAAAAAUGCCCUGGAGUGAAAUUGGAGUUUUAUUUUUUAUCCACCAACGUAAAAGAGACAGAUGGACAAAUCUUUUAGGGGUGGAUGAGAAUAAAGGAAAUUUGAAGAUUUUGUAAAACUGUACAUACAUGAUGUUGACCUCAAAUCUACCAUUGCAUUUGAUUGGACUGUGUCAGCAGCAUAUCUUACUUUUUAUCAUUAUACUUUUUUAAGGGGGCUCAGGGUGUGCAGUGGGAGUGUAUUAACCCUGCAAUGAGGGGAAAUGAAAGGGUACCAGUACUGAUCCCUGGGGGACACCCCUCGACACUCACACCCUGCCCUGACACUCACUAUGCACUUUCUAACUGUGAGGUUCCAUUACAUUUGGGACGGGAGCACAGAAAUAUUAUAGUACAAAGGGAGGGUUGGAAAAUGUAACUUUUUGAGUUUUUAGUUAGUACCGUCUCACUGAAAACGAGACUCAAACCGAAACGAAAGACUUAGGAACACACCUUCCUCCUGUACAUAACCAUAUUUUUGUAUUACCUUUUUUUAGAAAAUCUCUUGGACAAAACCACAAGGCUUGAUAUAAAAACAAACAGAUGAAAGAAAUUCAAGACAGAUUGAGGAACAGAGUGAAUGUUCCUCAAGGAAACAUGUUUUUUUUGUUGAAAUACUGAGGUAAAUUAACUACCUGGAAGUUCCCUUGACUUUGCCAGUGGCCCUGUCUAUCAUCAGGAGUGGCGAAAGAAAGGACUUAACGUGGAUGGAGUUGCGGACUGUAGGGACUACCAAGACUGAUUGGUGAUCAUCGUCUGUCAUCAAAAUGGACUCCGCUGCAGAGCCCAGCCCAGGGUGUUUGAACAACAAUCGCCAACCAAUGGAGAAGGCAGGGGAGAGACAACACAAACGAUGGAUGUACGGGGAGACCUUCUGCCCAGAUGCCCCCCCCGCCUUCUGCCACCUAGCCACUGCCUGGAGAUCAACUACAAGGUGACUGCAAGAAGAGAACCAUCAUAUAGGAUUCUAACUGUUCCUAGCUGCCCUCUGUUGGAAAGGAGAUGGAGCGUACUGUAUCUUCAAACCUUUCUUUUCCUCUUCUUUCUGCCCCCUGGUGGUAAAAGUGCCAAGCAGAAACCACAGCAGCAGAGGAACUUGGAACAGUGGACUACACACAAACGUAGAGCUUUACUCAUGUGUACAGUACACGCAGCUGGAUUCUGGUAAAAUAAUUGCAAGCACACAUUCUCAAAAAGACUUGCUCUUUUCUAGAACCACAUUCACACACACAACUAAUAGAGCCUGUCAUUACACCAGUGUUUCCCAAACUCGGUCCUGGAGGCCCCAAGGGGUGCACUACACAGCUGAUUCAAAUAAUCAACUAAUCAUCAAGCGCUGGUUAUUCGAAUCAGUUGUGUAGUGCUAGGGCAUAAACAAAAACGUGCACCCCUUGGGGUCCCCAGGACCGAGUUUGGGAAACACUGCAUGACACAUUCAUGCACACACACACACACACACACAAGCGGAAAGGCUCAAUACUACACGCUUGAGUUCAAACUGCUAUGUAAAUAACGUGAAAGUAUUUUGUUUUCGUCUAAUUGUUUUCCUUUUCUCUCUGUUCAACAUGCCUUAACUGUACAGAUCUGCCUUGUAUGGCAAACUCUAAAUAUUCAAUAAACAGUAAGAGAACAUAAGGACAAUAGCAUUUGAAGGGGAGGUCUGUUCUACUUACUUGGACAGGACUGUCUUAUUAGCUAACAAUACUGUUGUAUGUUACGUUAUUUCUGUCCAGCAUCUAUUGCACGUCAGCAUGAAAGUAGAACUGUAGAAAACCCCUUACGACAAUGAUGAUGGUGGUUUGCCUUUUUUGAAAGCAAGAGUGUUUCUUUUCAGAUAUCCAGUUUUAAAUGCCUAUACAUGUAGUUGGUGUAGGGUGAGGAAUGAGAAGUCUGGAGUAUAGUGUGGAGCUGAGCUGACUUGGAAGGGUAUGUUAAAGGCCCAGUGCACCCCCCAAAAAAAACGACUUUAUAUAUAGUAUAUUUCCACAUUGAGGUUUGAAUAAUACUGUAAAACUGUGAAAAUGUUAAUGCUCUUUUAGUUUAAGAGCUAUUUGAAAAGACUGCCUAUUUUGGUGGGAUGGAGUUGCCGCCUACAUGGUGACAUAGACCAAUAAGAAGAAGCGUUCCAAACCUCUCUGCCAAUAACAGCUAGUUUAGUUUCCCUCCCCACCCAGACCACUCCCAGACAGUCCUUGCUAAAUUGAUCUUUGCUAAGAAGCUGUUUUUGUUUCUUUUUGACCAUUUUAAAUCAAUGAAAUCACAGUAAGGUAAUUAAACUGUUUCCCAGAAAUGAUUUGAUAUUGAGAUGUCUGCAUUGGACUUUUUAAAUCUGUCCUCUGUCUCACACACACACUACAUAUUACUAUUUACCCCAUCACUAGUAAUGGUUUGACGGAAAAGAUUUUGACACAAUAAUUCACAUUAUGAGACUUGAUUUGAAACAUGUUCAACUGUUUUAUCUUGGUGCUUACCACGCCUUAAAAUGGAGGAUAUAUUUAUUCUUGGCGUUCUCGGAGUAGCCUAAAUUGUCCCUAAACAUUUGACUACUGACCAUUUGUAAUGACUUAUGUCCCUGUAUAUUAGAAGCGUCUACUGUAGCUAAUGGUAUUGAAUGGCUGUAUACGAGUCAAGGUUUACUCAACAGAUUGAGUGGCUAUGAUACUUGUUGCUAUAUGUAUUCCAUUAUACAGUUGAUAAUGGGUUUGUCUCUCUUCUACUGAAGGUGCUUGGAACAGUUCUGAAACUUGUUCGUUUGUUUUUCGUAUGGAGAAACCCAGUACUUCCCCUGUCAGUUAGGUUGAAUGGAUUCAUUCUCUUAAGUGUUUUCCUAUUUAGAAUCAGUUCUGGUUGGUCCGACAAAACAAGUAUUAACUUCGUUGUAGGAUAUGACUGGUUCAGGUUUUUCCAUAUAUGUUAGCUUUGGCUUUCUACCCAGUUAGCACAUUUGGUUCCUUGGAAGUUGUGGGAAUGUUGUGUUUUUUUUGUUUCCCAUUGGUUGUGGGAAGAAGCCAUACCUUUCCUAACUGGUAAAACAGAAGAAGAAAAAAUGUACGUUCUGAGAACAGCAGUGAAAACUUUGCCUGUUCUGGGAAUGUUUAUUUUUUAGGUUGCAGGGAGGUUCUUACAACGUUUUACUCUGGUUCCUUUGAAGUUCCCCUCUGAGGUUUUAUUAAACAGUGAGAACGGAAAUUCUAGGUACUUGAAGUUUUUUUUUCAAAAAAGAGCACCGCUAGCUUAUUUGGGGUUAACUGUUUAAACUCCAAGCACAGAUCAGACACAUGGAAAUUCAUGCAAACAUUUAAAAAAAAAAAAUUGUGACAUUGCAUCUGUGAGAUUCGAACCUAUAAUCUUCUGGAAUUAGUCUACUGUGCCAUCAGGAUGGAGCGAGUGUGCCAUUGUUUUUUUUACACAUACAAAUCUGUUCCUUUGAGUCUUCAAACAGACCACAUUUUUAAAGGAAACAGCACUCAAGCUCAGGUGUGGCCAAUUAGUGGGUGCGGCCACCACACCCAAACACACUUAACAAGAGUGUUUUGGUGACGCUGAGAACAGAAUGUAUGUUUUGAAAUAACGUUCUCUGAACAUUAAAGUUUUUAUAGGACGUUUUAAACAAAUGAGAACAUAACUUUAAAUAGAACCAUGAGGAAACGUUAUGCUGAAGUACUGAAAUUACCACAGAAGAACGUUGUUUAACGUUCUCUGAACUAUGAGAACAUUCCCAAUGUCAAACCAGUUGGAGAAUGUUCUUAAAACAUUACCAAAACUGAACUUAAAUGUAACCAUGUUUGAACUUUUAGGAAACAUUCUGUUAAAAGUAAUGACAUUUGACAAAGUGCUGAGAAUGUUCCAAAGCCAAGCAACUAUCCUGCAACAUUCCCAGAAAGUUGUGAAAAGGUCAUAUGCAAAAUCAACACGACCAGACUCUCACCAAACUAUUAAAACAUAUGGUUCUCAGAAAGUUACGUUUUAGCUGGGUUGGUUUUGAAUACACUCUAUUCAGUCCGUUUGGAUCAGUUUAUGUAUUGGUUAGUGCCGAUUGGGGAAAAUCUAAAAUGUCACUGAAGUACUUUGUGAAGACCGAGAGAGCAGGAUAUUGUCAUUAUUUGAAUUCCAUCGGUCAGAUAAGGAUGCCAGUGGCAUGCUGGUUUGCAGGGAGCUGCGUUUCAAAUGUAGCCACCAAUUAUUCUAGUCUGUUGUUGAAUGACUGGUGGUUAUCAUAUGUUAGUCUGUCAAGUCUCCAGCUGUUGACAUUUUUCUGAUUUUCUGUUAAUCCUUGAAGUUCAAAAGUUAUUGAUGUUUUUGCUUUGUGAUGCCCCUGGGGGAGAUGAUUAAUUUACCAAAUGAUAUUUUCCCUUGUUUCACCCAGUCAGCUCAAUUCCAUCACUUAAACGUUUUGAAUGAGUUUAGUAACAUAAAUGCAUUCAGAAAAAGAACAUACCUAAAGAAUUGUAAAUAGUUAGUUUUUUGUUUGAAGAGAACCAAAAGUGAUUAAAUAAAAUGCAUUUGAUGGGUA